rnacentral:rRNA from 1 species
CUACGGGAUGCUCCAGUGGGGAAUAUUGCACAAUGGAGGAAACUCUGAUGCAGCCAUGCCGCGUGUGUGAAGAAGGCCCGAGGGUUGUAAAGCACUUUCAAUUGGGAGGAAGGUUAUGUAGCUAAUACCUGCAUAAUUUGACGUUACCUUUAGAAGAAGCACCGGCUAACUCUGUGCCAGCAGCCGCGGUAAUACAGAGGGUGCAAGCGUUAUUCGGAAUUACUGGGCGUAAAGCGCGCGUAGGCGGAUUGUUAAGUCAGAUGUGAAAGCCCCGGGCUCAACCUGGGAACGGCAUUUGUACUGGCAGUCUAGAGUUUAAGAGAGGGAAGGGGAAUUUCUAGUGUAGCAGUGAAGUGCGUAGAUAUUAGAAGGAACAUCAGUGGCGAAGGCGCCUUCCUGGCUUAAAACUGACGCUGAGGUGCGAAAGCGUGGGUAGCGAACGGGAUUAGAUACCCCCGUAGUC